UUUUAAGAGUUUUGACCAGAAACCGCAAACGAUUUUUUUUAAAUUCCCAUUAAACAAAGACGAUUAAAAAAAAAAAAAAAAAAAAAAAAAAAAAGAAUUACUCGAAGACCCGGCAGCUAAUGACGUCAGAGGCAGAGAAUAAGUACCCCGGCGAGCUUUUGUGGCGACCUUUCUCACCGCCGCUGGCCGGCCCGAGCGCGCCUGGAGCUGCACUGCCUCCCGGGAACUCCUGCUGAACCGAAUUUUCUCCUGAGAUGAGAUUGGGAAAGGGAACUGCAAGAAACUGCAAGAACUAAAGUUUCAACAGCUAUUAUUUCCCCCCAAAUGUUUAGUAAAUUAUCUAAAGACAAACGUCAUCAAAAGGUAAAAACACAAACUGCAAGUGAAAUUAUCCAAAGAGCAUAAUAAUAAUAAUAAAAUAAUAAUAAUAAUAAUAAUAAUAAUAAUAACCUAUAAUUAGUAUAUUAGGUUCACACUAAGAUAUUCGUUUUUCAUUGAUUUCAGUAUUGUUCAGUUUUCGUGCUUGUAUCAGGUUAUAGAUUUAGACAGUUUAAAAUAAAAAUCUGGAACUUUUUGAAAGGAGCAUCUGAGCACAUUUUAACACACAGGAAAAUCCCCAGUAUUUAAUUAAUAUCUCUUAAUUAAUAAAUAACUCUUCAUGAGUUUCAUGUGGACUCAUAAGAAGAAAAUGUUACUAGAUUCUUUUUUUUAAAUUUUUUUUAUAAAACUCUGACAUUUUAUUUCAAGAGAUAUCGGUCUGGCUGGCUGACUUACUGAAUCAGAUGUGCUAAAUUAGGAGUUAGUAUAGGAAAUAUAAGAGACUGUUAUUAAGAAAAUUAAUAAGUCUGUUAUUAAUUAGGAUGUUUUUAUAGGAUAAUACACAAGAGGAAAAUAUUUUAAGAAUUUGUGUUGGCAAAUGGACAAGUAUAAAAUAUUUAUUGAUACUUUAAAACUAAUCCCAUUGCUUCCAUACUUGCUAGUUUUAAGCAAAAUGCAA